CUUCUAUAGAUCCCGGUGAGGGCUUUUUUUCUCCCCCUUCCCAUUUCUUCCAUGAAGAAUGGAAGUUUGUACAAGAAAUGCAUCAUUCUCUAAAACCAAACAGCAAAAAGAGAAACAAAAUGCAAAAGAAAAGAGGGGCAUGUUUUUGAGCUUCAUCAGAAAGUGGGAGUCUUUGCUGUCCGCCAGCUACUGUGGAGCUGAUGGAGAAGGGGAAGAAUGCACCAGGCCUUCCUUCCCUGUCUAA
rnacentral:lncRNA from 1 species